UGGGGAAUUUUGCACAAUGGGGGAAACCCUGAUGCAGCGACGCCGCGUGAUUUAGAAGGCCUUCGGGUUGUAAAAAUCUUUUGUAUGGGAAGAAAAUGACAGUACCAUACGAAUAAGGACCGGCUAAUUACGUGCCAGCAGCCGCGGUAAUACGUAGGGCGCAAGCGUUAUCCGGAAUUAUUGGGCGUAAAGAGCUUGUAGGCGGUUCGUCGCGUCUGGUGUGAAAGCCCAUCGCUUAACGGUGGGUUUGCGCCGGGUACGGGCGGGCUAGAGGGCAGUAGGGGAGACUGGAAUUCCCGGUGUAACGGUGGAAUGUGUAGAUAUCGGGAAGAACACCAAUGGCGAAGGCAGGUCUCUGGGCUGUUACUGACGCUGAGAAGCGAAAGCGUGGGGAGCGAACAGG
rnacentral:rRNA from 1 species